rnacentral:rRNA from 1 species
GAUGAACGCUUAGCGACAGGCUUUAACACAUGCAAGUCAGGGGCAGCGAGGUGGUAGCAAUACCGCUGUCGGCGAACCGGCGCACUGGUGAGUAACACGUAUGCGACCUGCCCCCCUACAGGGGUAUAACCCGUAGAAAUGCGGACUAAUCCCCCAUAGUCCCGCGGGCUGCAUGGCCUGCGGGGGAAAGGGUUUCCGGUAGGGGAUGGGCAUGCGGCGCAUUAGCUAGUUGGCGGGGCAACGGCCCACCAAGGCGACGAUGCGUAGGGGUUCUGAGAGGAAGGUCCCCCACACUGGUACUGAGACACGGACCAGACUCCUACGGGAGGCAGCAGUGAGGAAUAUUGGUCAAUGGGCGCAGGCCUGAACCAGCCAAGUCGCGUGAGGGAGGACGGUCCUACGGAUUGUAAACCUCUUUUGUCGGGGAGUAACGUGCGGGACGGGUCCCGUAUUGAGAGUACCCGAAGAAAAAGCAUCGGCUAACUCCGUG